UCCAGCAGAUGUUUGUGAUACCAGAGAAUACAGCAUCGAAAGUCACAGAUGACCAUGGCAUAGAGGUGGAUGCGCAUGUAUUUCCAGAACUUGCAACAACCAAAGAAACAUGUCAUCCACACUGAUGAUGAUUUGACUGUCCUGCAGCAAGGGGUUGUUGAAGUGCCCUCCUCCCCAAGUCUGACAGAUGCAUUGUCUGUGUCAAGCAGUUUAAGCAGCAGUGAUUCUGGAUCUCAAAUUAUUCAAACUUUAAUGGUCAGGUGUCCAAAAAAAUAAUAUCGAGCAAAUUCUAACUUCAAAGCCAGCAGAGUUGACUGUGAUUAAGGAGUAUGACGAGAUAUUUUUUGCUGCUUUUUUUUCCUGCAAAGUUAAUUUUACAUAAUGUGAUGUGUUGAUUGUCUUAUGCAAUUUUACUAAGCCAUUG